UUUGUUUAAAUUGUCCUGAGGAAGAACUAGUGGUUAGAUGGCAAGUCGACCGCUCUGGGCAGUAAGCGCGGGUCUAGAGAUCUCCUUGUGGGUAGUUGGGGAGUCUGUAGGGACUCUGCACCUACCAUUAAAGCGGAGGGGAACGCAUGAGGGCGGAAACGCAGCAAUGAGUACCUCCUGCAAGGCAGAGUCUCCAGCCUUCCGCGCCAGUCCUUUUUGUGGAGUAUGGCUUUUGCU